rnacentral:misc_RNA from 1 species
AAAUGCGAUAAGUAAUGUGAAUUGCAGAAUUCAGUGAAUCAUCGAAUCUUUGAACGCACAUUGCGCCCGCCAGUAUUCUGGCGGGCAUGCCUGUCCGAGCGUCAUUUCAACCAUCAAGCCCCCGGGCUUGUGUUGGGGACCUGCGGCUGCCCGCAGGCCCUGAAAACCAGUGGCGGGCUCGCUGUCACACCGAGCGUAGUAGCAAUCACCUCGCUCAGGGCGUGCUGCGGGUUCCGGCCGUUAAACAGCCUUACAAAACCCAAUGUUGACCUCGGAUCAGGUAGGAAGACCCGCUGAACUUAAGC